rnacentral:rRNA from 1 species
AUACGGAGGACGCGAGCGUUAUCCGGAUUCAUUGGGUUUAAAGAGUGCGCAGGCGGCCGUGCAAGUCAGCGGUGAAAGCCCGGGGCUCAACCCCGGAAGUGCCGUUGAUACUGCAUGGCUGGAAUGCGGUCGAGGCGGGCGGGACGGGGCGUGGAGCGGGGAAAUGCGUAGAUAUGCCACAGAACGCCGAUAGCGGAGGCGGCUCGCCAGGCCGGCGUUGACGCUCGGGCACGAAAGCGGGGGGAUCGAACAGGAUUAGAUACCCUGGUAGUCCACGCCGUAAACGAUGGGCGCUCGUCGUCGGCGGCAGACAGUCGGCGGCCAAGCGAAAGCGAUAAGCGCCCCACCUGGGGAGUACGGUCGCAAGGCUGAAACUCAAAUGAAUUGACGGGG